CAAUAAGCGGAGGAAAAGAAACUAACAAGGAUUCCCCUAGUAACUGCGAGUGAAGCGGGAAAAGCUCAAAUUUAAAAUCUGGCGGUCUUUGGCCGUCCGAGUUGUAGUCUGGAGAAGUGCUUUCCGCGCUGGACCGUGUAUAAGUCUCUUGGAACAGAGCGUCAUAGAGGGUGAGAAUCCCGUCUUUGACACGGACUACCAGUGCUUUGUGAUGCGCUCUCAAAGAGUCGAGUUGUUUGGGAAUGCAGCUCAAAAUGGGUGGUGAAUUCCAUCUAAAGCUAAAUAUUGGCGAGAGACCGAUAGCGAACAAGUACCGUGAGGGAAAGAUGAAAAGCACUUUGGAAAGAGAGUUAAACAGUACGUGAAAUUGCUGAAAGGGAAACGCUUGAAGUCAGUCGCGUUGUCUGGGACUCAGCCUUGCUUUUGCUUGGUGCACUUUCCGGAUGACGGGCCAGCAUCGAUUUUGACCGUCGGAAAAGGGCUAGGGUAAUGUGGCACCUCCGGGUGUGUUAUAGACUUUAGUCGCAUACGGCGGUCGGGAUCGAGGAACGCAGCGCGCCGUAAGGCAGGGGUUCGCCCACUUUCGCGCUUAGGAUGCUGGCGUAAUGGCUUUAAACGACCCGUCUUGAAACACGGACCAAGGAGUCUAACAUACCUGCGAGUGUUUGGGUGGAAAACCCGAGCGCGUAAUGAAAGUGAAAGUUGAGACCUCUGUCGUGGAGGGCAUCGACGCCCGGACCUGACGUUCUCUGACGGAUCCGCGGUAGAGCAUGUAUGUUGGGACCCGAAAGAUGGUGAACUAUGCCUGAAUAGGGUGAAGCCAGAGGAAACUCUGGUGGAGGCUCGUAGCGAUUCUGACGUGCAAAUCGAUCGUCAAAUUU
rnacentral:rRNA from 1 species